UGCAGUGAAGUGCAGUGAAGUGAAGUGAAGUGAAGUGAAGUGAAGUGAAGUGCAUUGCAGUGAAGUGCAGUGAAGUGAAUGCAGUAAAGUGCAGUAAAGUGAAGUAAAGUGAAGUAAAGUAAAGUAAAGUAAAGUAAAGUAAAGUAAAGUGAAGUGAAGUGAAGUGCAGUGAAGUGAAGUGAAGUGCAGUGAAGUGCAGUGAAGUGAAGUAAAGUAAAGUAAAGUAAAGUGAAGUGAAGUGCAGUGAAGUGAAGUAAAGUAAAGUAAAGUGAAGUGCAGUGCAGUGAAGUGAAGUGAAGUGCAGUGCAGUGCAGUGAAGUGAAGGGAAGGGAAGGGAAGUGAAGGGCAGUGAAGUGCAGUGAAGUGAAGUGAAGGGAAGUGAAGUGAAGUGAAGUGAAGUGAAGUGAAGUGAAGUGAAGUGAAGUGAAGUG
ensembl:lncRNA